CCAGACUCCUACGGGAGGCAGCAGUGAGGAAUAUUGGUCAAUGGGCUUACGCCUGAACCAGCCAAGUCGCGUGAGGGAAGACUGCCCUAUGGGCUGUAAACCUCUUUUGUCAGGGAGCAAUUGGCGCUACGUGUAGCGUUAUCGAGAGUACCUGAAGAAAAAGCAUCGGCUAACUCCGUGCCAGCAGCCGCGGUAAUACGGAGGAUGCGAGCGUUAUCCGGAUUUAUUGGGUUUAAAGGGUGCGUAGGCGGAAUGCCAAGUCAGCGGUAAAAUCGCGGGGCUCAACCUCGCUCCGCCGUUGAAACUGGCGUUCUUGAGUGGGCGAGAAGUAUGCGGAAUGCGUGGUGUAGCGGUGAAAUGCUUAGAUAUCACGAAGAACUCCGAUUGCGAAGGCAGCAUACGGCAGCGCUACUGACGCUGAAGCUCGAAGGCGCGGGUAUCGAACAGGAUUAGAUACCCCGGUAU
rnacentral:rRNA from 1 species